rnacentral:hammerhead_ribozyme from 1 species
AUUCAGCUGACCAGUCCCAAAUAGGACGAAACGCGAGUCAAACUGGAU